GGGCUGGAGGGCAGGGAUGGUGUGAGAGCUCCUUCCUCGUCAUUUUACUCUGUCAGUAAGACAUGGAUGAGGUCUUGCAUCAGCUAGGAGGGGUCUGGAAACUUCUGAGUCAGGUCUUGUGCAGGGUGCUGGGGAUGAAAGGAUAAACAGGACAACAUCCUUGCUCUCCAGUAGCUACUGAUUUGAUGGGAAAAACCCACAGCCCAAGGGAAUAUAAUGGAAGUUGCUGAGAUUAUAGUAUGUAAGCAAGCCUUGAAAUGGUUGCUGGCUAUUUCUGUGACCAUUUCAGGAGAGCCCACCUGAGAAUGAAGACAACACAGACAAAAGCACAGCUGAAUGGCAUGUAGAGAUACAGUGCGGGAGCUCCUGGAUGCACUGAUACCUGAAGCAAGACCUAUUCUUGGUCUCUUUUUUUGGUUACCUGAAGCAAACGUUUCCUUUACAAAAAAAUUGAAA
rnacentral:lncRNA from 1 species